AGUAACAGAAUUAUGGAGUUGGGGGCUCUGUGGUGUCAGGCACUUGUCUCUGGGAACAUGGCUCACUGUUCUGUCCCUUGUAGAGUUUCCUACUGGGUCUCUGGAGCAAGACUCAUUCAACCAAAACAGGCUGCCUUUCAUGGCCCCACAGUCCUUUAUAAGACUUGCCUUGGUCAUGGUGUCUGUUCACAGCAGUAAAACCCUAAGACACGUGGUUACAAUCAGCUAUUAUCUGCUUUGCAGGUGCUGGGAACCAAAUCUGGGUCCACAACAAAAGCAUCAGGCACUCCCAACUACUGAGCCAGCUCUCCAGCUUAAUUUUGGGUUUUUGAGAGAGAGAGAGGGAGAGAGAGAGAGAGAGAGAGAGAGAGAGAGAGAGAGAGAGAGAGAGUCUCAUGUAGUUUGUGGUGACUUCUGAAUGAAAAAAAAGAAAGAAAGAAAGAAGGAGGAUAUGACCCACUCCUAAGGGGUUGUUUUUAUUCCAGAUACAAGGGCGAGCACAGGCAGAAGCAGAGACGUCUGGGAGAAUCCAGAGUGGACAGGACCAUGACUGACCAACUAGGAUAUCAGCAGGUCCAGUGCAACAGCAGACACCAAACAGGAAUCAGCAACAGCAGCACACUCCACCAGAAACAGCAAGGUUCUGCCAAAUCAGCACGAGUCAGUGGAAGUGGCCAAAGUCAGCUGGAAUACCACGAGAAGUUCUUUGCUCUGCCCAAAGCUGGGCUGUGAACUGAAUUGGGCAGAACUGGAAUUUAUGAUUUGAGCACUUCCACACAAACCUCCUUCACACCACCCUGCUCUGCAGUGAAAGUCUAAGAAGCUGAGAGGAACUAAGUCCUGAGAGGGAACCAGUCCCUGAAGCACGUGGUGAGCAUAAGAAAAACAACAAAGCUUCAUCCAGCAUCCACAGCACCAGCACACGUGACUGCUGCAGCGGCCACUGAGAGCGAGAGGGAAAUAUCAGGUGUGGGCUUUCAGCAUUUAGAUCCUGGGGAGGCGCUCUGGCUGCUCUCUCACUGCAGGCUCUUUAUGCCACCAGUCAACAAACAGCAGCCUCUGUUGGAAAGGCUCCUUCGAUGUUCUCAAGGACACAGCGCUAUUUUAAAAUUUCUUCAGCA
rnacentral:lncRNA from 1 species